GAUGAACGCUGGCGGCGUGCUUAACACAUGCAAGUCGAACGAGAAUUGUGGACUGAACCCUUCUGGCGGAAUACUUUAUUUCGAGUUGCCGACUGGUUAGUAACGCGUGUGUAACCUGCCUCAUACAGGGUCAUAACAGUUGUAAAGCACUGUUACUACCUCAUAAUACCACAUCACUGCAUGGUUCGCUGGCAAAAACUCCGGUGGUAUGAGAUGGACACGCGCUCGAUUAGCCAGUAUACGCGGUAACUGCCCACCAAAGCGACGAUCGAUAGCCGAUCUGAGAGGAUGACCGGCCACAUUGCGACUGAGACACGGCCCAAACUCCUACGGGAGGCAGCAGUGGGGAAUAUUGCACAAUGGGGGAAACCCUGAUGCAGCGACGCCGCGUGAGUGAAGAAGUAUUUCGGUAUGUAAAGCUCUAUCAGAAGGGAAGACAAUGACGGUACCUGAGUAAGAAGCCCCGGCUAACUCCGUG
rnacentral:rRNA from 1 species